CAAUUAGUGUUAGAUUUAAUUUGGGUUUCAAUUAUAGUAUCAUUCUCAAUUUUAUGUGAUAUUACCAAAUCACCCCUAACCCUAAUUUUUCAAAAUAAUAAAACCCUAACCCAACGACCCGUUACCCGACCCGGUUCCUUUUUCCCCACACCCAGCUCCCCCCAAGUAGCAGCACACACGGUUCCCUUUUUCCUUUUCCAUGAAAAGAACGAAACAGAAGCAAAAGAGAAAGAGAGACUGAGUCGCGGAAGAAGGAAGGAGGAGAGCGCGCCGGCCAGGAAGGGUACUGCCGCCACAGCCGGUUGCGUCUGCUGCCUCACCGCCGCCGUUUUCGCAUGCAUCACCGCUCCGUAGAGCCGCGCCUUGCCGUCGAUCCCGUCAUCCGAGCCGUCGUCCUUGCCGCGAGGCCAGCGCCGCCGUUGCCAUCUUUGCACAAGAAAAGGAAGAGGCUAACAGUGGAGGGCGGCGCAUGAGAGGGAGCUCGCGGUGAAGAGAGAGGGACGCUGUCUUGCGCGCCGCCGUCGCACCUGGAUAUCGCCGCUGCUACUGCGAGCUCGCCGUCGCCGGAGCUGGGUAGUCGUUAUCCUUGCCAACAGAGAGGAAGACGCGGGCUGGAGGAGCAAGAUGAGUCCUCCUGUCUCCGUUGUUCUGGUCCGCUGAGAAAGGGAAGAUGCUGCCUUUGUGCUUCACGAUCGCCGACGAGCACGGAGAAGAGGAGCUGUGGCCGCGUCACUGCCGUUUGGAGGGCUAUGCUUGGCCGCCGUUGUACCGCCCUGCUUCACCGUGGCUGAGCUCUGCCACUCCCUGCCCCUUUGGGCUUGUGAUGUUGCGGGAAUCGCUACAGGAAGAGGAGCAGGCUGAGUCACCGUGAUUUGGGCCGCCAAGGAAGGUUCUGUGACUUCCGGGAUCACCGACGGAGCUCCGGGCUGAGCUUCUGCCACUUGAGACGCUGCUGCCGUCGCCGAAAAAGUUUGGCGUUGUCGAGAUUGGAAUUUGUCACCGCUGCCGCUUGAGGUGGCUGCCGGGCUGCCGCUGAACCGGCUCGGAGACCGCCACUGUUUCGGUUCAGCCGUUCUUUCUUAGUUUCGAGCUGUUUAUGCUGCUGCGAAAAUGUGUGGGGCUGUGCUUUGAAGCUGCCGCGUUGGUUUUGAGUCGAGACGAAUGGAUUAUGGAUUUCUGAGAAGCGUCUGGAUUAUAGUUUCAAUUUGUCGAAGUAGGGACACUUUCCGAAAGCUAUAUUUUAUAUAUUAGAAUUAUUAUAUAUGGAUAAUGAUCUGAGACAAUGUGAAUUUGGUGAUUGUAGCAGCCUUAUGUAUUAUUUGAUUAUCUCGAAUGAUUAUAAAUGUUUGUUUGGCUAAAUUAUUGUGCGGCUUUGU